AUGAUUACCUUUUGCAUAAUGGGUUUAUUAGAUAGUUUAUAUUUACUACUACCACGAAUAGGAGUGAGCUAAAUAUACAUAUAUAUUAGUAUAACUUAUACGUUGUAUAGUAGAAGCUAAUGUAUAUUUAGGGGUGAUAGGCUUACCAACCUCUUUGAUAUCUUGUUAUGUAAGAAAUAUAUUUAGUAUAAUUACACACUAAGAAAGUUAAGCUUAUUAGUUAGUAUAAAUUGAAUUUAUUAAUUUAAGUAUAGUAUAAUAACUAACUAUACAUUAUCUUUUAAUAUAAAAUAUUGGUUAUUAUAUUUAAUUAUUACAUUAAUAGUUAUUUUGUUGUUAUUGAAUAAUGUAAAUAUUAGUAGUUUAUAUAAAUACAUUAAAGGAACUCGGCAAUAAUGUUGCUCAACUGUUUACCAAAAACAUAACUACAUGAAAUAGUAUGUAGCUAUUUCUGCUCCAUGAUAUGUUAAAUAGCCGCAGUACUCUGACUGUGCAAAGGUAGCAUAAUCAAUUGACUUCUAAUUAAAGUCUGGAAUGAAUGAACAUAUGGGUAACAACUAUCUUAAUGUAUUAAUGUUAACUUUGUAAGUAAGUGUAAAUACUUACUAAUGUAAAAAAGACGAGAAGACCCUAGAAGCUUAAUAAUGUUUUUGUUGGGGCGACAGAAUUACAAUUAACUAAUUUUAAUUACUUGAAGGCAUACAGUAAGAGUAAGCUACUCUAGGGAUAACAGCAUAAUUUUAAUAGUUUGUGACCUCGAUGUUGGAUUAGGUAUGUUAUUCUUUAGAAGAGGAUAAUAAGUGCUCUGUUCGAGCAAGGACACCUACAU
rnacentral:rRNA from 1 species